GCCGAUCAGGCUGUUGGUGAGGUAAUGGCCCACCAAACCUGUAACCGGUACGGGCUCUGAGAGGAGGAGCCCGGAGAUGGGCACUGAGACAAGGGCCCAGGCCCUAUGGGGCGCAGCAGGCGCGAAACCUCUGCAAUAGGCGAAAGCUUGACAGGGUUACUCUGAGUGAUUUCCGUUAAGGAGAUCUUUUGGCACCUCUAAAAAUGGUGCAGAAUAAGGGGUGGGCAAGUCUGGUGUCAGCCGCCGCGGUAAUACCAGCACCCCGAGUGGUCGGGACGUUUAUUGGGCCUAAAGCAUCCGUAGCCGGUUCUACAAGUCUUCCGUUAAAUCCACCUGCUCAACAGAUGGGCUGCGGAAGAUACUAUGGAGCUAGGAGGCGGGAGAGGCAAGCGGUACUCGAUGGGUAGGGGUAAAAUCCGUUGAUCCAUUGAAGACCACCAGUGGCGAAGGCGGCUUGCCAGAACGCGCUCGACGGUGAGGGAUGAAAGCUGGGGGAGCAAACCGGAUUAGAUACCCGGGUAGUCCCAGCUGUAAACGAUGCAGACUCGGUGAUGAGUUGGCUUUAUGCCAACUCAGUGCCGCAGGGAAGCCGUUAAGUUUGCCGCCUGGGGAGUACGGUCGCAAGACUGAAACUUAA
rnacentral:rRNA from 1 species